GUCAUAUUUUCCUCCCCUCUGUUAAGAAAAGAAGAAAACUGCACUCCCCACGAACCCUAACCCACCUCCCCGCGUGCCCCCUUUCUCCAGUGGUGGCGCCUCCCACCAGCAUCGAUGGCGGCCACCGGAUCUGUAUGCGGGCACUGAGACGAUUGCGGCGUUCACCAUGCUGACAAUCCGCCUCUCGUUCUAGUCUCCAUCGACAAGACGGCGCCUCAUCUCUGUCCUUCGCCGUGCCUGGGUCGUCGUCUAAGCGGUGGCUCCCUUGACGGGACUGUACAACGAGGUCGUCGUUGUCAAGGACCAUGGUGGUGGUGCCUCGGUGUUGUCUCCUCGCGGUCAACGUGGCCUCUGGACUCCGCCCUCCUUGGCGCCGCCUCCUUGGCUUCCAUCUCGCCUAUAGUACAAGGUACUUUGUACAAAGAACAAGGAGAACCGAGAAGCUGUCAAGCAUCAACAAACUAGAAGAUCUAGCGGAUUAUCAUUUACGAAGAAUGGUUGAUGCAGAAGAAAACAAUAGUGCAGAAUGCUGUAAAUUUGUAGUUGAUUAUCACAUAUUGGUUUUUAUUCUUUCUUGUAAGCAGGGAAUAGGAUUCGACAUAAUGUAAUUUUUAUUUUUUGUUGUAGUUUGUACUAUUUGGUUGAAUUUGUGGUGAAAAAUGACGUGACUAAUACUUCUAUAACCUGUUUCCUAUGAAUAAUUUA